rnacentral:lncRNA from 1 species
GAAACUAUGAAAAACUGUGAAAGAAAGUCUUAGCGCGUUCACCUCCCGCACUCCUACCAGAACUACACUCGCACCCGCAGGGACGAAAGCAUCUCUGACUUUAUUCGGUAGUAAGUCCAAACGGUGCUAAGAGAAACCCAGGAAGUGGUGGUGACAAGACACUGAGAACUAGGAAGGAGAUGAAAAACUCACCAACCGAAGCAUUGCAAACACUGGGACCUCACAGAGAAGAGUAGCUGACCAGUGGCAGAACUCCAGUGUUUCUGGGUCUCAUGACCGAAUCCUAUCUAAAUAUCGCACCACUGAGUCUUUACAGUUAAUCAAGUCUUAAGAGUUGGAAGCAGUGGUCGGUGAAAAAAAGGCAAAGGUAUUUCAGAUAUUGAUUAUAGCCAUCAAUCAAAGGACACCCUCUCAUAUGCUUCCAAAAGCUCAAGUAAGCAAGGAUUUUUCUGUAUUAAUAAUUUGAGCAUCCCCAUUAGGUCAGUUCCUAAUUCAGUAU